rnacentral:RNase_P_RNA from 1 species
AACGAUGAACCAGGCGCCGCCUUGGGGCCGUCCGAGAAGAUGAACCACAGGGAGGAAAGUCCGGGCUCCGCAGGAUAUGAUGCCGGGUAAUACCCGGGCUUGGCCGUUAGGCCAGGACUGACAGCGCAACAGAAAGUACACCGCCAGGCCGCUUUUGCGGUCGGGUAAGGGUGAAAAGGCGGGGUAAGAGCCCACCUCGGCAAUGGCAACAUUGCUGGAAGGCAAGCCACAUCAGGAGCAAAGUCAAGCAGCGUGAGGGCGGCAAGCCGUCCUUAGGAUUGGCCAGGCCAAUCGCCAAUGAUCCGUUGGUUAAACGCGGGUAGACUGCACGGACGCUGCCUGCAAAGGCAGCGCCAGACAGAUGGUGCCAUUGGGAUACUAUUGGCAUAGCCAAUAGUAUCCCAUUACAGAACCCGGCUUAUGAUUCAUCGUUUUUU